GACGAACGCUGGCGGCGUGCUUAACACAUGCCAGUCGAACGGAAAGGCCCUGCUUUUGUGGGGUGCUCGAGUGGCGAACGGGUGAGUAACACGUGAGUAACCUGCCCUUGACUUUGGGAUAACUUCAGGAAACUGGGGCUAAUACCGGAUAGGAGCUCCUGCUGCAUGGUGGGGGUUGGAAAGUUUCGGCGGUUGGGGAUGGACUCGCGGCUUAUCAGCUUGUUGGUGGGGUAGUGGCUUACCAAGGCUUUGACGGGUAGCCGGCCUGAGAGGGUGACCGGCCACAUUGGGACUGCGAUACGGCCCAGACUCCUACGGGAGGCAGCAGUGGGGAAUAUUGCACAAUGGGCGGAAGCCUGAUGCAGCAACGCCGCGUGCGGGAUGACGGCCUUCGGGUUGUAAACCGCUUUCGCCUGUGACGAAGCGUGAGUGACGGUAAUGUGUAAAGAAGCACCGGCUAACUACGUG
rnacentral:rRNA from 1 species